AUUAUGAAGAAGAACAGGGCUUGAUAAAAGGAAAGAGUCACAGGGAAGACAAGCUGUUUGAUGGAGUGCCAGGGAACAAAUUCUGAGUGGUGGUGGGACAGAGGCUUGAAGGAGGCAAUGGGGAAGCUGGGGCAACAAUGUUCCAGGAAGAAGGAGGAGCAAGAGUAUCGGCCUUGAACCAGAGUGCACAUCAAAGCAAGCACUCAGCCCUGUCGCAGUGACCACUCAACUGCAACCCUCUGACAUUAGGCUUCAAGAAAAUGGGCUCUUGAUGCCCUACAUCCUGCCCAGUCCCGCCCACCAGCCUCCAUUUUCCUGCACUCUGGAGUGAUUCGUCAGCCGUAUCCACAUGUGCCCCAGAGGAUGCUUCCUGCUUCCCAGUGCUGCUCUCCUGCCCUCCAGAAGCGUUUUCCCUACUUGUCCAGUAUCUAUAGACCGGCUUCGGCGACCAAGGGCCACCCAGCAACUUGGCCCGCAUUUAGUGGGCUGAAACCACUCAACCAGGUUUGAGUCCCAGCUCCAGGAGAGGGACCCCUUCCGAGUUUGUUUCUUCCUUGGCUACUUUCCUCCCUAGGGCAUUCAUUCUUUAGCAUUCUUUUUAUUCCUGAUAGUUAUCACCCUGUUAUAAUGACUGAAUCUUUAUAUUAAACUUCCCCUUGUCAAAUAUUGCUGGGACUCUCCCAGUACCGUCUGACUGAUACAGAUACAGCCUCAAAAUGUCUGCGUUUACGGGUACAGCAAGACUGUGAACAAAUAGGCAUCAGGUGCUGUCCUCCAACCACAGGUCCUGGGAACCCCUUCUCCCAAAGGAGAAAAGAGGAGAAGUAGCCAUAUUGAUUUCCUUCCAAAUUGCAGAUUUGCCCCCGAGGAUCUUGAAUGCCAUGUACCUUUCUCAACACUCACAUCAUGGUGAACUUCAGCUGGACUUAAAUGUCUUUCAGACCAGGGACGAGGUUUUUAUCACCUUGUGCCUUAUACGGAGAUAAAAGAAUUACAGGUCCAUGCCUGUUAAACUUCAGAACCCCCAGCAGCCAGCUGACCCUGCACCUACAGCUCCCUAACGGAGAGGCACGUGGCUACACAAUCAUUACAGCCUGCCUAACAACUGUGGUCCUAUGGAUGGAAUGUGAAUCAAAGAAUGUAUGCCUAGAUUUCUGGGCCUAAACCCUAAGACCAUGAGUAGACCUUCCUUCUUGCCAUUCGGAUGGCUAGGACCUUUGCCCUGCAGAGAACAAAAGGUUCUGGAGAUGGUGGGGCAUCAUUUUAGAAGGAACCUGAGUCCCUGAGUGACCACCUGCCAACUCAAAAUGUUCACCUUAAACUGUUGCAUUAAACUAUUAUAAUAUUUGUUGGGUCUCUGUUACAUCAGCUUUGCCUUAUUAUCUCAACUAGUACAGUACUAGUUGGAUUGAGCUGAGCUUAUAGAAACAGGGUGCCUGCUUACUAAAAUGAUAGGUGGAGGAGAGUUUAGUCUAAGGUUUGAUACUAGAGAAACAUGCCAACUUUAGGUAAAUUUCAGGUACAGCAACAUGAAAUCCUCACCUACCUCUAACUAUUGGAGACCUUCAACAUCUGCCAAUAAGAAUCUAACAGUUGUUCACAGUCAAUUAGACUUAAGUCAGUUUGCAACAUGCCCAGUUCGGGCUCAGUGAGAGAGAGGGAGACCAGGAAUAACUCAGGUUUUUGGCUUGAGUGACUGGGAGACAGGAUGGCAUUUGCUAAGUGAAGGAGAAAAAAAAUGAGUUCACUUUUGGAUAUGCUGAGUUUCAGGUGAUUGCAAGAUUUCCAGGUGGAGCCAAAGUGAAGUAAUCAGGCUUAGAAAUCAAACUAAAGAGAUCUGGUGUAAAGAUAGAUGCUGGGGAAUCAUCCACACGUAGAGAUUACCCUAGAGACAGAAUGGAGUGAAAAGAGCAGAGCCCUGAAGACAGCAGGCAUUCAGGGAAGGAAGAGGAGGCUGCCAUGGAGACGGAGAGGUGGUAGGGUACUAGAAAGUAAUCAGAGGGGCACCUGGGUGGCUCAGUCAGUUAAACGCCCAACUU